AUGUAGGGCAAUCCGUCUUUCAGUAGGGAUAAAUUACCCUAAAACAAAAAGAAUCCUAGAUAGUUUUCCCUUCAAGUCAAGCAUCUUGU
rnacentral:pre_miRNA from 1 species